rnacentral:lncRNA from 1 species
GGCAUGAAGUUUAAAGAAGAGAAGAAAACAAAAUGAAAUAAUAAGAGUGGUUGUAAUGAAUGCUGGCCUUGGACUGAUUCUAAAGAUGACGCCAUUCUGUUGUAAAACUCAAGUAAUGAAAGCCUAAGAGAAAAUGCAAAGGGCCAAUAAUAAGAUCGUGUUUGUCAUAAUACGUGUCAAUUCACCUGUGCUCUUUUGAAAGCCAUUGUCACUUUCCAUCACUCCUUACUUUUUCUUUUCUGAAACACUGCUUCCACCCUUCACCAUCUGUAUUUAUGCAGAAUAAAGUCCAAUAUCUCGAUGAACCCUCAGAACUUUCUUUCCGCACUGGUCUGUGUCUCUCUGAGCAGCUUUAGCCACCUGCACUCCCUUACACAGCCCGUUUCAGCCUGUCAGAAGAUUCCCUGUUCUAGGCACAUUCCAGACCCUCUUCACUUGAAACAUCUCCCCCGCCGCCCCCCACCGCGUUCACUCUGUCAAUCAAACCCCAGUCAUCUUUCCAAACUCAGCGGAGACUCCCACUCCCCUCUGUAUAGGAGAUUUCCCUGAACUCUGCAUCUUGAAGGGUGCUAUCUCUGCUUUGUAAG